GGUCUGCUGGCGCAAUGGUAGCGUAUCAGCCUUCUAUAUUAUAGAGGGGCCAGCUGAGGGUUGCGGGUUCGAGCCCCGCGUAGACCU